rnacentral:rRNA from 1 species
CCUACGGGGGGCAGCAGUAGGGAAUCUUCCACAAUGGGCGAAAGCCUGAUGGAGCAACGUCGCGUGGGUGAAGAAGUAUUUCGGUAUGUAAAGCUCUAUCAGCAGGGAAGAAAAAAGACGGUACCUGACUAAGAAGCCCCGGCUAACUACGUGCCAGCAGCCGCGGUAAUACGUAGGGGGCAAGCGUUAUCCGGAUUUACUGGGUGUAAAGGGAGCGUAGACGGCAAUACAAGUCGGAAGUGAAAUACCCGGGCUCAACCUGGGAACUGCUUUGGAAACUGUAUGGCUGGAGUGCUGGAGAGGUA